AAGUGCAAUUACAACAGUAACAAACAACAAGAGCAACAACAACAAAAUAUAUUAAAAAUGUAAUUUGUUUUUGCUGAGAAGCGAAUAGAAAGGCAGCAUUUUAUAAAAAAAUAUUUUAUUUAAUUAUUUUCUUUUAAUUUUAGAGUGCAAUAGCUGAAAUUGUUAAAACAUUUAGAUAUUAUGUACCCCCAUGUGACCUCCCCCCUCCCCCACAUACACCCAAACACCUAAACACCCACACAUACACACAUUUAAGACAAGCGAACAAUAUUUAAUUAGCCAAUUAGACAAAAACAAAACAAGAAACAAAAGAGAUAUGAAACGAAGAAGACAACAACACUUACAAUACAAAAAAAUACUGAGAAUUCUAUUUAUUUACAGUAUAUAUUUACGAUUUAAAUACAUAAAUAUAAAAUAUAGUUUAUUUUUUGAUCGUCAAGGCGAUUGUAUUUGCAGCUUAGCUUCUUUAUAACUAAGGUCUAUCGAAUGAAGAGCAGAGAUAGAAGAGAGAGAGAGGAGGAGAGUGAGCCAGAGGGAAGAGAGUGAUAAGCUAUGAGCUCUCUCAACUGAGCGAGAUUGUGUUUAUCGAUAAAUGUCUAUCGAUAGUUUAGUAUUUUUGUAAUUUGAAAUUGUAAACCCCC